GAUGAACGCUGGCGGCGUGCCUAAUACAUGCAAGUCGAACGGAAAGGCGCUGCGCUUGCGGCGUGCACGAGAGGCGAACGGGGGUGAAAAACGCGUGUAAAACGCACUUGACUGUGGGGUAUAUCUACGAAACACGGGCUAUAAUCCGAUAGAAGCUCUUGAAGCACGUUGGGGGUUGGAAAGAUUCGGCUGUUGGGUAACGUAUAGCGGGUUACGCGCGUCAUGAGCUAGUUGGUAAGGUAACGGCGUACCAAGGCAACGAUGCGUAGCCGACCUGAGAGGGUGGUCGGACACACUGGAACUGAGACACGGUCCAGACGCCUACGGGAGGCAGCAGUAGGGAAUCUUCCGCAAUGGGCGAAAGCCUGACGGAGCAACGCCGCGUGAGUGAUGAAGGUCUGCGGAUCGUAAAACUCUGUUAUUAGGGAAGAACAAAUGUGUAAGUAACUAUGCACGUCUUGACGGUACCUAAUCAGAAAGCCACGGCUAACUACGUG
rnacentral:rRNA from 1 species